AAUCUUGUAUUCAAUUUGAUGAUUUUAAAUUGCAAAUUUAAAGGUGCUUGAUAGUCUUGAUUU
rnacentral:tRNA from 1 species